rnacentral:rRNA from 1 species
AGUAACGCGUGGGUAACCUGCCCUGUACAGGGGGAUAACAGUCAGAAAUGACUGCUAAUACCGCAUAAGACCACAGCACCACAUGGUGCAGGGGUAAAAACUCCGGUGGUACAGGAUGGACCCGCGUCUGAUUAGCUGGUUGGUGAGGUAACGGCUCACCAAGGCGACGAUCAGUAGCCGGCUUGAGAGAGUGAACGGCCACAUUGGGACUGAGACACGGCCCAA